GGCUCCUUGGAUACUAUAAAGAGUUAGACCUGCCCACUGAUAAACAAGUUAUUAAAUGGCCGCGGUACACUGACCGUGCAAAGGUAGCAUAAUCAUUUGCCUUUUAAUUAGAGGCUGGUAUGAAUGGUUAGACGGAGAGUUGACUGUCUCUACAAAAUUUUAAGAAAUCAAAUUCUAGGUUAAAAUGCCUAGAUGAUAUUGAAAGACGAGAAGACCCUAGCGAGCUUUAUUUUUAACGCUAGAAAAUAAGUAGAUGUUUAAAUUUUUGUUGGGGCGACUGAGGAGAUGGAGCUUCCUUUAAUAAAAUUAAAAAUAAUGGUUAAGGAUCCAGUGUGUAAUUACUGAAAAACAGGGGAGCUACCGUAGGGAUAACAGCGUAAUCCUUUUAGAGAGUUCUUAUCGAAAAAAGUGUUUGCGACCUCGAUGUUGGACUAGGAUAUCCUAAAGGUGUAGAAGCUUUUAAGGGUUGGUCUGUUCGACCAAUAAAAUCCU
rnacentral:rRNA from 1 species